rnacentral:misc_RNA from 1 species
UGUGGGAGCGAGCUUGCUCGCGAUGUGGCCGGCACAUUCAACACUUGUGUUGGCUGAUAGGCCGCCAUCGCGAGCAGGCUCGCUCCCACA